AUUGAACGCUGGCGGAAUGCUUUACACAUGCAAGUCGAACGGCAGCACGGACUUCGGUCUGGUGGCGAGUGGCGAACGGGUGAGUAAUGUAUCGGAACGUGCCCAGUCGUGGGGGAUAACGUAGUGAAAAUUACGCUAAUACCGCAUACGAUCUAUGGAUGAAAGCGGGGGAUCGCAAGACCUCGCGCGAUUGGAGCGGCCGAUAUCAGAUUAGGUAGUUGGUGGGGUAAAGGCCCACCAAGCCAACGAUCUGUAGCUGGUCUGAGAGGACGACAAGCCACACUGGAACUGCGACACGGUCCAGACUCCUACGGGAGGCAGCAGUGGGGAAUUUUGGACAAUGGGCGAAAGCCUGAUCCAGCCAUUCCGCGUGCAGGAUGAAGGCCCUAGGGUUGUAAACUGCUUUUGUACAGAACGAAAAGGUUUCUACUAAUACUAGGAGCUCAUGACGGUACUGUAAGAAUAAGCACCGGCUAACUACGUGCCAGCAGCCGCCGUAA
rnacentral:rRNA from 1 species